GGUAGAGAAAAUGAGCCUGUACCAUCUGAGAAAAAUGCACCUGUUCUGUUUAGCAUAGCCCCUGUGCAAAGAUGACAUACAAAUUUGUGAAGUGUUCCAUAUUUUU